AGUCUUCAUAGCCUGAUGCCUAUAUAUGGGCCAGUUGCUCAACAAUGUCUACAAGGACCCAGGUUUUUAAAAUAUCUCCUCUCUCUCAUUGUAAUAGCUUUAGCAUCAAGUCAGUUGCCCAUGCAACAGCAAAUUUCAGUUGUCCCAUCAAGACCCAUCUCUUUUUUUUAGGAGCUUGGCAGCCUUACAUAAGAACUCUCUAAUAGACUUCACGUUGGCUAGAUGUGCUCAGGUUACCCUAGUGUGGUUUGCAUCUGCCUGGCUUCACCAACU
rnacentral:lncRNA from 1 species